AAUCACUUCUCCUUGAGCUGUCAAAUCCAGAUUGUAGUGGCUGAGUGUCACUAAUCACAUCCUAAAAGGAAUAAUAAUGUUAUGCAGAAAAACCUUGAUAAAUUUCUGAAGUUUUUCAUAGGUACUGUAUACAAAUAGUAAACAUUGUCCUUAAAAAAACAUAAAAGUAGUCCAUGUUUGUGAGAUCAACUUACGUGUAGUAUGGAAUGUUGGCUUUGUCUUGGUGAGGUUCCUCCACCAUUGCACAACACAAUGCCGAACAUGUUGUCUUCAGCAAGUGCUCUUAGUCUGUUAAGCUCAGGUAACACGACAUGUCCAAGAUCUGGUCUGUCUUUUCGCCUCAUUUCUGCACAUUGAAGAGCUAGCUUGGCCAACUUUAGUGUCUCUUCGACCGGCCAGUCAGGAACAGCAGGGUCAAUCAUCUCAUUGAAAUUACCCCUCUCAAUAGCCCGUUCAACAUGAAAGUUCCAGCCGUUGAUGUCAUGCGAUACUGAGUUACAUCGUUGGCUACUGAUGGAGGGACAAGCCUGGCCAAGCCAACGUCACUGAUCUUGCUGACAUAGUUCCGGUCAAGCAAAAUGUUUGCGGGUUUCAGAUCACGGUGUACAAGCGGUUCAGGCUUAGUUUGGUGUAGGAAAAGGAGGCCAGUACCAAUCUCGGCAGCGAUUCGAAAUCUUAGUUGCCACGGAAGAACAUGUGUGUCACCUCGUCUAAAGAGACGGUCUUCUAAGCUCCCAUUAGCCAUGUACUCAUAGACAAGGCAGCCAAAUUCUGGGCAAGCUCCAAGGAGGAGAACCAUGUUUGGAUGCCGUAUGCAGCUUAAUACUUCAACCUGCAUAAGAUGUUCCAAAACAAACCUUAGAAAUAAAAACAUCAGUAAGUAUUUUCUUAAUUUAGAGAUAUUUGACUGGUUAAGAUUUUUUCUUUGAGAUAUAUUGUUAAAGAUAGGUGUUUAAUGAAGGAGGUAGAGUAAGCCUAAUACAAUAUGUAAAUUUGUUUCUUCAAUUUUCUAUUGUCAAUAUGAAAAUGAUAGAAAAGGUUCAAUGCCACCUCGAAGGGAUUUGAGAUGAUUAUGGUCACUGAACAUGGAGGUUUUUCCUUUUCUUUUCAUAAGUACUGGAGUUUUGGAAGAAACCCAUUUGACCAUUAUAUUGGUUUUCUUUCUUUUUUUGGUUAGUUUUUUCAAGAUUAUUGAUGCACUGUUCCCACCUCUUGCUGAAACUGCGACCGUCCUUGAGCUGCAUCAGGACGUAGAACUUUUACUGCUACUUGUGUGUGAUCCAGUUCACACAUGUAUACUGGCCCAUAACCUCCUUCCCCAAUCUUGCGAGAUUCCGCGAAGUGAUCUGUUGCUGCUUCGAUCUCCUCGAUCGUGUAUCUUCUGUACCUGAGAUCAUUGUGCGCGAAAGCAGUUAGCGCGUGCUUUCUCUCCUCAGCUUCUUCCAUGGCUCUCAUUUCUGCAUUCAUUCUUCUUUUUGCUUCCAGUGCCGCAAUCCUCUUAGCUGCUUCAGCUGCCUCAAGGGCUGCCUUACACUUAGCUUUCUCCUUCUCUGCAGCUGCCAAUGCUGCUUCCUCGGCCAUUCUUGCCUCUUCUAAUCGAUGUUCUUCUUCCACUUUCCAGCGGUGAAGUUCCAAGGCCUGUGUUGAAAUGUUGUUAGAAUUUAGAAUUGAUACUCAACUCAACUUUUUAGUUUUGAUUAAUAUGACUCAAUGUAUAUUAUGCCUUUAUGUGUGUGUACUUGUAUCUUACAGAAUAGAGAUUUUGCUCACUUCAGAUAGUUUCUAUGUACAAAUAUCAUCCAUGUAAAUUUCUUUGACCAUAUUAUCAUCUCACACACUCGCAUACAGCUACUUCAGCAUGAAUAAAUACAGUAAAUUAAAUAAUCAUGUAUUGAGGGGAGUCCAUUGUUUAGCUGGGUCUAAUUAAUAUGCUCUUUGAUGCUAAUAUAUGCCCAUAUACAUGUCAAUAAAAAGUUGGGCUCUCAUUAUACAAUGCGUCUCAUUGUCUCAAACCUCUUUUUGAUGCCUAUAUGGUAAGGGCCAUAGUCUAGUAACAUUAAAUACUAGUACCUUCUGCUUUGCUGUGAGUGCUUCCUUGCAGGCCGUAUUGUACAUAUCCAUCGUUUGCUUGAGCUCUAGCCUUAGCCUCCUCAUCUCAGCUUCUACUUCAUCCUGUAAUUUUCAGAGCAAUUAGUAUUUAAUUUCCUAUCCAGAAUUCCCACAUAAAAGGACACGUCUAUGUAGUAAAUCAUGAACACCCACAUUCAAAUGUUUAUGCCUAGAGGAAAAACUUUAGCUUUUGGCAUUUUUGAUUAUGAAGAGAGAUUUUAAAUUUUGCUUAAUAUUGGAUGUUUUGAUUUGUAUAUGUAAAAGCUAUGCCCUUUUCCUUGUCUUAUUUCCCUUACCAUGUUCUGUGACCCCCAUGCUGCCCCACUUUCAUGUGAGCCUGAUGAGUGUGAGCUUGACGAGUAGUCAAACUGUGGGGAUAAAAUAUGAAUUGACUUGUUUCCUGAUAAGGAUGUUCCAAAGCUUCUAAUGUCAAACUCUGAGGUGGUCGAAAGUCGAGGAGUCAUUCCGGAAUCUAGAUUAUCAUAAAGAGAAGGAUAGAUGCGCUCCACGCUUGGCCUUCCAUUGCUCACGAAUGAUAUGUCAGUAUCUGGCAUGGAGAGCUCAUACGACUUAUUCAUCGAAGCUCUAUUAUUUCUUCCGAAUGGAGACCUGUUCCAGAAAUUAUCAGAUUACGAUGUGGAUGUCCUGCCCUCUCUGUAGCAGCAUCAGAUAAACUCAUUUCAGGGAUGACAAAAAGGCAGCAAAUUCAGUGGUAAAACAAAAUGUUGCUAGAAUUACAGAAGCAGACCUCUAAAGUGAUGGUUACGCAUGAAAUGUGUACCACCAGGGUGAUGAUGAUCAGAAUGAUUGUUGUGAU